rnacentral:rRNA from 1 species
CGCGCUCCGCAACCAAUCCCCCGUCUCCCCAAGCCCCAGUCCCCACCGGACAAAUCCUAGCCUCACCAAGCCCCACACCUCGUGCUCCUCCCUCAUACAUCCUCGUUAGCCGCCGCCGCCGUUCUGCCUCCCUCCUCUCUCCCCUACAACCACGUCGCCAGGAGGAAGCCGCUGUUCGUGGCGCCAUGCCGCUGCCGGGGUGUUGCGCACACUUCGUUCCCCACAGCCCCUCCCUCAUCCUCGCUCAUCACCGCCGCUGCCUGCUACUCCCCUCAACCACCGUUGGUGCUUCUGGGUCGAACCUGGCGUUGGUGGGUCGGAGCUCGAGCUAGAGGCCAAGACGGGGAAGGUCAGAAAAAUGAGAGACCGGAUGGAGGUGCUCGAGACCGGGGAAGCUGGAAAUGCUUCACUGGCCAUCCGGUGGUUGGAUCACGGGCCAACGCUCUGGUCGCGAUGGGGUUGAGCUGCGCAGGAGGGGGAGGAGGCUGGCGACAGGGAACCGUGCCAGGGAGGAGGCAAGGAAGAACGCACAGUCUGCACUGGGGUAUAAUUUAUCUACUACUUACCUUUGUGUCUCGACAUAUGCUUGUAAUGCAUCGUGCUACCAGAGGCCAACAUUAUCCAGUAUCAUAGCGAUGCUAAAAAUGCCUAUUGGUUACUCCGCAUAUUCUCAUCUGAUUUCUCAUAUAUAGAUAUUAAUUUCUUUUCAUGGGAGGCCUUCAUUACAUUUCAGCAGCAGUUGCGGAUGUGGUCGGUGGUUGAGGGAGGGUCUCCGACUAGAGCAGCAGGAGCAAGGAGCUCGAGGAAGUUCAGGUUUAUGGCCUCUCACGGGAUGUGAUUCUGGUCAUGCUGCCUAUUAUGAAGACUGAGGCAAGCAUCAUGAAGAUGAGCAGGCGAGUGGCUGAUACAGAGAGCUCCUCGAACAGGGAAGUAGCAUUGCUGGAGGAACUCGAAGAUGAGCUGGUCAAUUUUGGCAUGUCCAGUUCAUGUAACCUUUUCAUCUUUACAUGUCUUUGCCUUACUACCAUUUUAUUUUUGCUGCUCUGGGAUUAGGUACCGAAGUCAUGCAUUUGCCUUACUAUUGUGCUGAUACUGGGUGCAACAUUGUGGACCUUUGGUUCGAGAAUGGCCAGCAUGGCCAUGGAAUGUAGGAGAGGAAUGUAUUGCCUAAUGAGUUUCGGAUCCUCUGUGCUUCCUAUCACAUAUGGCUUGGCCACCUACAGAUUCUUGGGUCUAGUUGAAGGGUUCUCCAGGCUUAAGAUCUUUCUAGGAUAAUUGCAUCAUUGAAUCUGAAGGUAUUUGAUUGGUUUCUCAACUCAUGUAUCGAUAAGCAUUUUUUUCAUCCUCAAUAUAUUGUUACUUACCUAACUUGUCGUAUAUUUGUGAGGUUUCUGAGGAAGUUCACUUCUUGCACGCGGCGUAUAACUUGAGUUGCCUACAAAUGAUUUUGCCAGUUCGACGAAAACUUAAAAUAACCAAGGGAAAUUUCUCAGUUUUGUUGUUCUUGCUCUUCUCAGAUCUUAGGUCGGGGGUAUUAACAUAUAUGCCACACACUAAGUGUAGAUCUUAGUGUGAGAUUAAAUAGGGUAAAUCCUUGUGCCAUGUUGAAGAAUUAGAAUUACAAAAAAGAAAGGAAAUAUUAAAGAAGGGAUAUGGUUGAUUAGGUUAUUUUGGUGUUUCUUUGUAAAUAAUGACAUGCUAACUUGCUGGUUUAAUUUAGGUGGGUGGAAUAUAGGAAAUACAAGGAGAGAUAUUCAGUUGCAAUCCAGCUUUAUUUUCAAAGUGAAACAUGGUAUACAUGCAUAGCAUGCUGGUCUUUUACUCUAUAGUUGUGCGCCGCCAUGGUGUCAACUUUGAAGUUGCAAACUGAACUGUAAAAUGUUUUAAUGCCUUGGGGCAUGAAUUUUUCUUUGCCUGCUCUGACUACUUCAUUUAUGUUUAUUUAUCAGGUUAUGCGAUCUCCUAUGUUGCUGCAUGUUGAUCUUCUGUUUUGUUGUAACUCUGUUUUGCUGCUCGAGGUUUGCUUCCUUUCUUUCCAGCUACAUGUGUAUUCUUUGAAUUCAAGCUACAUGCAUGUUUAUCUUUUGCUCACGGAAUAGUUUAGUUAUAUUGAACAGGAGCAUCUCUGUUAUUAGAGACAUACUAGGCUCGUGCUUCUUCACAGUGGCCAUCUCUUUUUUUGUGAGAAGUGUGCCUCAUGGCUUAUUCUUAUAUAUUCAGUUCUUCUGCCUUUCAACGAUCAAUUACCAAGCCAUUUUUAUGGAGCCGAUAGUGUUACUUCUGGUGGUCAGUGGUAACUGAAAAUAUCUUUCAUUAUCAUUGCUUGCUAUGUAUCCAUUUUUUUCUUUUCGCUUUGCUUUGAUGUGUUUGUUUCUAUGGAGUCUCUGCUACCCUACAACAUCAAGAUGAAAACUAAGCAUGUGAGUUUCUUGGAGCAGCCCUACAUGUGGUUGUUGUGCCUUUUUCCCUUGUUCUUUUGAAAUGCAACAUGACAGUAGCCAAUGUCAUAUAUCAGGGUUGUAAACCUAUUAGAUUUGGGACAGAGGAAAGUAUGAAGAUCUUCUUAUUAUUGCAAAGUAAAAGUUGAUAUUAGUGCCAACUUAGGUGAUCUGGUCCGAAAGGGUAUCUCAGCUUUAUGAGUUGAUAGUAUAUUUGCAUCAAAGAAUAAACCUUAGCUUUUAGAUAGAAUUUAUGAGUGAAAGUAUUCUGGUGUAUACCAUCCUUUGUGCAGGAUUAUCAUGGUUAUUGUGGUUGUCAAUUUUGUUGACAAAAUAGAUUGAUAUAUUUUUCGGUGUCUUAUGGUAGAUAUAUUUGGUCUGCUGUUUCAUGCAUUCUUCGGCUUUAUGAUUAAUAUUCCCAGAUAUUUGAACAAAAUUUAGCUAUUAAAUAUACAUCCCGGGAAAUUUACAUUAUUAUAGUGGGGCACUCCUUUGCACGGUUUUCAGUAUAAGAGAUUUAACCUUUUUUGCAGUAUCAUUCUCCCUGGCGGAUUACAUAUAGGUUGUUGUUCUAAUUACAAGCAUGCCUUCAGCUCAUGGUUCUUAUAUUUUUGUAUUUUCCAUAGGACAAUUUCCUGGAUUAAUAUCUAUACUCGAGAUCUAGGAGUCCACCCGAAUUUAGUGUCCAAGAAGCCGUUCAUCCAGGAUCCACCAAAAUUCAAAUGAUAUGUGAAAAGCGUGUGCUAGAUGUGGGCCCUAUCCACCGUUUUGAUCUGUCCACUCAGGUGCUUUGUCUAGGUGGUAACACAACAAGCUGCUUAUGUUAUAGAAACUUAUUAUACAUAUAGUCCUAUGUUUGUUCUGCUUGCAUGUUAGAGAAAGAGCUUCUACCCCUAUGUGAGUAAUCCUAUAGGAAUUAGCAACGUUGGCUGUACUUUCAAGCGGGCUGAAUCCAAUGCAAGUUUUUGGAGCAGUUGGGUUCCAGAACAAACAACUAGGUAUUCCCAAAGAGGUCAUUCCACUAGUGGCUAGCAUAAUAUUUUCAUGUCGAGACAAGUAAGAUGACAGAUCGUUUCUCAAAUAAUAUGCUGUUGUUCUCAAUUUUUAUUUUCUCUUCUUUUCUGCUACUUGCCUCACUAACUAUGACCUCAACGAUCUUUGGUGCAGCGAUCCAAGCAAGCAACCAUCAUUGUACCAGCUCUUGUCAUCGCUGAAGAAAUUACAGUGGUUACAUUGUUACAGAAAGCCUAUGACAAUUUGCGAGUGUUGUUUGUGCAAUAUACUGGUUUUGUGGCAGGUGCAUGUAUGAAUUCAGAUGGUAGUGGUCUCCUUGUUUACAGUUAUAAGAAUAAUAAAAAUAUUGAUAAUGGUCUUUCCACUAUUACAAUCUCAUAGAUUAGAUUACCUGCUUACAUUGGCUCAUGGGUUUACUGGAUGAUAUUUUUGAUAGACAUUUUAAAAAUAGCAUGGUUUAACACAUGGGCUUUCUAUUACGAGUAUCGAAUAUGUCCUUGCAAAAUGAAACUAUUUUCGUCGACAACAUGGCUUUAGCGGGUCUCUGUGCCAUUUGGCGCAAUGGGUCAAUUAGUACAUAUAAAGGAGC